rnacentral:rRNA from 1 species
AACGUAGGAGGCAAGCGUUAUCCGGAGUUACUGGGCGUAAAGCGUGCGUAGGCGGGUCGGUAAGUGGGUGGUGAAAGCGCCGGGCUAAACCGGGCGAGGUCCAUUCAGACUGCCAACCUAGAGGCGGAUAGAGGGGUGCGGAAUUCCGGGUGUAGCGGUGAAAUGUGUAGAGAUCCGGAGGAACACCAGUGGUGCAAACGGCGCCCUGGGUCCGAACUGACGCUGAGGCACGAAAGCGUGGGGAGCGAACGGG